rnacentral:rRNA from 1 species
CCUGCCGGACCUGACUGCUAUCGGAUUGAUACUAAGCCAUGCGAGUCUUUGUAGUAAUACAAGGCAGACGGCUCAGUAACACGUAGUCAACCUACCCUAUGGACAAGAAUAAUCUCGGGAAACUGGGCAUAAUUCUUGAUAGAUCAUAAUGCCUGGAAUGGUUUAUGGUUAAAAUGAUUCGUCGCCAUAGGAUGGGACUGCGGCCUAUCAGCUUGUUGGUGAGGUAAUGGCCCACCAAGGCGAUUACAGGUACGGGCUCUGAGAGGAGAAGCCCGGAGAUGGGUACUGAGACACGGACCCAGGCCCUAUGGGGCGCAGCAGGCGAGAAAACUUUGCAAUGUGCGAAAGCACGACAAGGUUAAUCCGAGUGAUUUCUGCUAAAGAAAUCUUUUGCCAGUCAUAAAACCACUGGUGAAUAAGGGGUGGGCAAGUUCUGGUGUCAGCCGCCGCGGUAAAACCAGCACCUCAAGUGGUCAGGAUGAUUAUUGGGCCUAAAGCAUCCGUAGCCGGCUUUGUAAGUUUUCGGUUAAAUCCAUGUGCUCAACGCAUGGGCUGCCGAAAAUACUGCAUGGCUAGGGAGUGGGAGAGGUAGACGGUACUCAGUAGGAAGGGGUAAAAUCCUUUGAUCUAUUGAUGACCACCUGUGGCGAAGGCGGUCUACCAGAACACGUUCGACGGUGAGGGAUGAAAGCUGGGGGAGCAAACCGGAUUAGAUACCCGGGUAGUCCCAGCUGUAAACGAUGCAGACUCGAUGAUGCAUUGGCAUAAUAGCCAGUGCAGUGUCGCAGGGAAGCCGUUAAGUCUGCCGCCUGGGAAGUACGUACGCAAGUAUGAAACUUAAAGGA